AUGACAGGGACUCAUUGGUGCUAUGCUCGUCCAUGCCAUUGUGGCUGUGUUUGGCUGAGCAAACCAAGGAACUUCAGUGAGCUGUUGCAGCGCAUAAAGAGAGCCUGCAAUGAUGUAGGUAGUUCGGCCUGCUACGCCGGACGCGAGGUUGCCAUCAAGAUGUCAGCAAGCCAUUUAAAGCUGGAAAGGAGUGAUAUGAUUCAUGCCUCUUCACACUGUAUACAAUCUGAUGAAGAGGGAAUCAAGGUUCUCUUCUUCUGUCCUGUGAAUAUUUUGUUUUCUAUUUGUAGAAAAACAAAGCAGCAAGCCUCCUCGCAGCUUCCAUUAAAAACCCAUGUGCCAGAAAGUUCUUAG
rnacentral:rRNA from 1 species